UACGGGGGGGGCAAGCGUUGUUCGGAUUUACUGGGCGUAAAGCGCACGUAGGCGGAUCGUUAAGUCGGGGGUGAAAUCCUGGAGCUCAACUCCAGAACUGCCUUCGAUACUGGCGAUCUCGAGUCCGGAAGAGGUGAGUGGAACUCCUAGUGUAGAGGUGGAAUUCGUAGAUAUUAGGAAGAACACCAGUGGCGAAGGCGGCUCACUGGUCCGGUACUGACGCUGAGGUGCGAAAGCGUGGGGAGCAAACAGG
rnacentral:rRNA from 1 species